CUCAAAUGAGACAUAAUUGAAAAACCCAUUACAUUUAGAUUAGAUUGCUUAAUUGCUUAUUAGUAAUAAAAAUACUGAGAAAAAUUUGCAACAAAGUUAUACUUAAAUGAGAAAUAUUUGAGAAGGCUCCUGAGAUAUGCAACAUGAGAAAUAAUGAUAAAAGUCAAUCACACUAUAGGGAAUUCUCAAUUACGUCUCACCUGAAUGUCAAUAUCAACAGCACCAUUGUCAAUAGUGCUUAUUUUGAAGGAACUGAUUCCAAACUAAUAUCAUCUAAAAACAGAAGCAUCGAUACAGAAUUUGGCAUACAAUUUGCGCACAGAUUGGGAUUCUUCUGGUUUAUGUUUACAUAUUGAUCUUGUUGAGAGAAAAGGUUUUGGGCUUUGUUGAUUAGACCAAAUGCUAACAGCUGCCUAAUCUCACUACUCAAAUCGGCAACCUGAAGAAUUUGCCAAAAGCCCAUUCACCAUUAGCCUAACCAAACAUAGGAAGUACAACAACACUUAAUCGCUAUUAAACACCUGCCAAGGCCAACAGGAGAACAGCAGAUUAAAGCAAAGUUAGUUUAACUCAUUUGUUUGAGUGGCGGAAGGUGACAAAAUGGUUUAGUCUUUUGCAAUUGAAUUUCUAAUUUGAGCUCUCAGUAUGCUGUACUUCAAUAGAACAAACAUUAACAGUCAGUAGUUUGUCAUCGGUAUUUGGAGACAUUUUCACUAGCAUCAGAAGAAGAAAAAUAAAAUACUUCACAAAACACAAUUCCAAUGUUUCGCUACGUAGUAAGCAAUGGAUAUAAAUGUAUAUAUGUUAAUAUGCACAAUAUGUAUCUAUAUAUACAGUAUUUGGACUUUCUGAUUUGGAUUGUGUAACUAAACGAUGUCUCAGUGAGUCUCUCUAGGCGACCUCUGGCAGCAGCGGAGCACGUGAGCACUGCUCGCAGGGACCCUGAAAGAAUGCACUUUCUGUGGGCCCGCUCCAAGAUUUGUUUUGAAAAGAAGCCAGGGGAAAGUCUGGAAGGCUAAGUGGAAGCAACUGAGCAGCGGUGACAUCCUAAAGAUCUGGCGUUCGCUCAAUGCUCCCCGCCGCCCAGGGAGCCAGAGGCAAGUUUACUUGCUUUAGAGAGGAAGAAAAAAAGAGACUCAAUUCUCCAGAAGAUUUUCCACAUUUCUGGGCUGCAGAGUGGAGGGAAAUUCCCAUGGCUUCCUCCACAGUUUGGCUAAGUUGUUCCAGAACAGGACCAUUUUAUUCUCAGAUGCAAGUUCUGCACAGGCUGAAACUACAAAGACACAAAUGCCCUCUGUCAGUUUUAUGGUGUCAGCUCUUGAAUACGCUCUUAUAAAAGCUAAUUUUCGCUCGACAGUAUAAACCGCAGAACUCGGCAACGAAACAAGAGGCCCAGUCGCCACAAUUUCACUCCACUUUCUCCAAGGCAUAAUUGAUCCCAGAACAUUCGGAUGCCAUUCUGAACUUCCUUUCUCACAAACACACACCUCUACCCAUUAAUUAAUCACAUGGCUAACAUGUUCCAUACAUCCUCUACUUAAAGAUUGAAUGACCUUUCACCACAUUUCACUUUGUCAAUAUGGCACAGCUCUGUUCCUUCACCUGUAAAAUAAACUGGUUGCUAUCCCAAAGCUCUAAAAAGGGAGACAUCAGAUUCAUUUUAAACCUGCUUUCCUCGCUCUCCUACACUCUAUAAUUGGCUCCAUCUCUAUGCAUAAGCUUUCACUUUACAACAGCAAGCCCAAUCCUGCUUGUCCACAAAAGUUACGCUUUUGCAUUCAUCACCUAUUAAAGCUUUCCCAAAGCAUCCGCUCAGCCCUCGGACAGCUGCGGGGUCAUGCAUAGGACACAUUCACUGGGUUCAUCAGGAUGUGUGCUCAAGAUGCAAACUUAGGCAGUCAAAACAACCUGGCAGAUUCAAAACAAACAUGGACAAAAAUUACGUUUUCCCGGCUCGAGAGAUGCCGACUCUUCAUUCCCAUACACCAGCUGCAGACGGACACACACGCCCCCAAUAACAGCAAGUACUCCUAAACCAAACACAGGGGUCAUGGAGAGCCUCAUCCCCUUGACCAACUUCAAAACACAGAGCUGCUUUUUAAUUCCCCGCCCUGGGAAAAGAAUGUCUUACCGAGGCUGCAAAUGAACUAUUUGAAGAGCAUAGAUCACUGCCGGACACUUCCUGAUAGUAAUGCUAGGAAUAACAAAGCGGCUAAAUCCUAGGGUUUAUUUAUGUUCGGCAUGCCGGAGAGGUGGUGUGGUGAUCGCCUGGUGGCAUUCCAAAGCUGUGAUGUCUCACUUGUAGACGCCCAACUCCAGUUCAAAAAAAGUAGUGCAAGACGACAGUAGAGGGAAAGACAUCCUGCACAACUUUCUCAAACAACUUGGGUUACCUUAAGAGAUAAAGCAGUGGUUUCAUUUUGUUUAGUAUCAAAAUGAGUAUUGAGUGUUUUUGGCUUGGAGCAAAGGUCUUGUUUUUUCUGACCUACUGAUUAUUUUUGUUAUUGGUACAAGUGAGGCCUGGUAGAUGUUGCCUACAUGCUCCAAGACCCUGGCCAUUCUGCAUACCCUAGGCCCUUCAUGUGGUUUCUGUCAAAUUGCAUCAUUUGGAGCGAGGCCACAGGCAGACUCUGUCCCUCUGCCCCCACACUGCUCAUUGAAAAAAAAAAGUAAAUACUUGGCAGUAGUUAACAGAGCUGAAAUGAGAUCAUUGACUUUUCUCCAGGAAAGGAGUCACAACACAUCCAUCAGACAAAUGCCUGAUAGAGCUGGCAGAGCUACACUAUUCCACAAAUUCUUUUUUUACACUCACUUUAGUGAUUUGUCCUCCCUUUCUUCUUGGCUUCUGCAAUUGACCAGAUUAUGACAUGUGAAGCAUCCCGAAUGCAGGGGAAAGGUGAUUCUGACUUUAACAUGUCGUUUAGAGCUUGGGAUGAAGCAAUUCUUUUAGGAUAAUCAUGAAAGGGUUGCAGGACUUUAUGAUAAGUUGGAAAGGGCCUCCAAAGACUUAUCCUGUUUCACUCCUGGUCGUUGAGGUGCGUCUAACUGUGGAAAAGGUAUAGGAUUUUCAAAGAGUAAACAUAUGUACUGAACUGAUACUAGACCUAAAGAGGUAGGUCAACCAAAAAUGAAAACGUUGUCAUCAUUUAUUCAUGACUUCCAGCAUCUCACCAAGCACAUAACCACCUUGUCAACCCAAAGAGGACAUAAAGGGUGUCUGGAUUUCCUCCAAUGUGGCGAUCUGCUGCAACAAAGUUGUUUUUAUGUUGUAUUUUAUGGGCUUUUUGUGCCUUUAUUCAGAGAGAACAGUAGAGAGCAGACAGGAAAGCAUUGGGAUCGGCAAAGGACCUCAAGAUGGGAAUCGAACUCGGGUUGCCAUGAAUGCAUUUGCACCAUAUGUUGGCGCACAACACUAGGCUAUCAGCUCUGACUGCUGCAACAAAGUUGGGGUUAAGAUGAGCAAAAAGUUGUUAAAAUAGUAAUUUUGCUACAUAUGCAAAAAUAGCCAAAAAGUGAUUUUUAAAAUUGACAAUCUCUAUUAAUUGCAUCAUUUGGAGCGAAUGUAGGGGAAAGGUGAUGUUGACUUUAAUAAGUCUGUUAGAGCUUGGGAUGAAGCAAUUCUUUUAGGAUAAUCAUGAAGGGUUUUCAUGAUAAGUUGGAAAGGGCCUCCAAAGACUUAUCCUGUUUCACUCCUGGUCCUUGAGGUGUGUCUAUGGAAAAGGUACAGAAAUUUCAAAGAGUAAACAUAUGCAUUGAAUUGAUGCUAGACCUAAAGAGAUAAUUCAAUCAAAAAUGAAGUCAUCAUUUACUCACCAUCAUAUUAUUCCAAACCCAUAUGUAAUAGAGAAAUUCUGAAGAUUGUCCAGGUUGCAAUUAAUUGGGAGAAAAGAUUUUUCAAUGUUCAAAAAGCAUAUGGACUUGAAAUAUGGAUGUUUAUAAUACGUUUAUGGUACUUUUGAAGUGUGAAAGCGUCAGUCCCCAUAAUUGCAUGGAAAAGUGCAUCAUAUAUGAGAUGGAACUUGGUCAAUGUUGGAUUUGUGUGGAUAUAGAGCUUCUUUACACAGACCAGGAGACUGCACCGGUGCUUGGAAAUCUAAACAGAAACCACUUCCACUGCUUUCCUAGCACCUAAUUUCAGUUUGGUUUGUGCAAACGUUCCAUAAUCUUUGAAUAUGGAAGUGACAACGCAGGUUAAAGAGCCUGAAUGAAUGAUUGGUAAAGGGGUCUGAUUUAUUAUCAAAUUAAUUUUUAAGCCCUCCACAGAUUGAAGGAAGGAAGUUUGGAGAAAACGAACACUAAUAAUUCAUUAACCCUGUUCAAUUCAAGGUUUCCUGCGCCUGCAACAAAGCUGCGGUCUUAAACAAGCAAGCAUUUUCGGGUGAACACAGAGGCAGGUCUGUGCAAAGCCCCUGUAAUCCCUCAAAGUCAGCAUAGAGCUGCAGUUAAUGGCAGGCCAUGAAGCAGGAAAGAAGGAGACUUGCUCACAUACAUACCCAAAGAAACCAGUGUGUUCAGUCUAUGGAGAGUAUAGUAUUUGUUUCAGGGUUCGAGGGAGGUGUUUAUGUGUUGGAUGAUUUUUUGGACCAUGGACAUUGUGUUUGGGUUGUACGGCUGCUGCCAGGGGAUCUUAUGUUUGGUUUAAUGCUUUCAUAGAGCAGACAAAUGGGGCCAGUGGGACAAGAUAUAGUAUGACUUGCUCGGGGUGACACUUCGGUGGCAGGAAGUGAGGCGGACAGUCUGAAUGUGAAAACAGAUUUAAGGACGAGGUUUACCUACAUUCUGUGAUUAAAGUGUUAAUGUCUGGGCCAGAGACAAGACACGACUCAUUUCAACGGGAUGUUUUGGAAUUCCAGCUUCAAAAAAAAGAAGGCUUGUAACAGUUUGAGUAGUCACGCUACCUACCGAGAGUGUCUCGCUUGUUCAUUUUUGCUCUAUAAAUGACAAAAUUGUUUGACUUCCGGGUGGGAGACGAUAUGAGGUUGAAAGCUGGUUUGAAACACUCCAGCUGCCAGGCCCCCCAAAACCUCCAUCCUCUGCCGAAAGCCCCCCUACCAGCGUCCCUCAGUCUAAACACACCUGACUUGUAAAUAUUCUUUAUUGCAUCGGUAACAUAAACGCUCUCAGCGACAGGCCCGUUGGACGAUUUUUCCCACACUCUAAGAGUAAGGCCAACCACUCUGUUCUCUAAACAACAGCACUCCAAGGAGGAUGGCGAGGUUGACGUCACCUCUUCAGGCUUGGAGGAAAUCCAGCAUCUCACCAAACACACCACCGCCUAGUCAACCCAAAGAGGACAUAAAGGAUGUCUGGAUUUCCUCCAAUGUGGUGAUCUGCUGCAACAAAGUUGGGGUUAAGAUAAGUGAAAAGUUGGUAGAACAGUCAUUUUACUACAUAUGCAAAUGUAAAAUAGGUCAGAGCAAAUUUGACAAUCUCUAUUCAAGGAUUAGUUCACCCAAAAAUUAAAUUUUUGUCAUUAAGUACUCACUCUCAUGUCGUCCCAAACCCUUAAAGCAGAACUAAGUAACUUUUUUU